rnacentral:snRNA from 12 species
UUACUUACUUGGCAGAGGAGAUACCACCAUCACAAAGGUGGUUUUCCUGGUCGAGGCUUAUCCGUUGCAUUCCAGAAGUGCUGACCCCUGCGACUUCCCCAAAACUGGUAGUGGAGGGCUGCGUUCAUGCGCUCCCCUG